rnacentral:lncRNA from 1 species
AGUUUCAAUAUUUUUAUUCAAAGCAGCUUCUCACAAUGUAUAAAUACUGCAUAUUAACACACAUGAAAAAUACAACUUCUAAGGCACCCAGAAAUGUGUCCAUACACUAGUUACAGGACCAUCAACAAAUAAAUUGUGUACAAUUUGAUCUAGACAGUCAAUAUUUGAUAGAAGAUACAAGUCCCUCAGUACUGUACCAGUUUCAGAAAAUAUUUACAACACUGUGACAUAGGGGUGCCUGUACCCUUAUAAUAUUAUAAUAUGUACUCAUCAUUACAAAUAUUAAAAACUGUUUUAGUCUGUUCCAUGGCAUUUUGACAAAAUAACUUAAGGGCCUAAUUUGCAAAGUUCUACAAUUAAUUCUUUGUGCAAGUUCUGAAAAUAAAUUUACAUUGACAUAAUUUGUGAAUUUUUGGUUCUUUGCUUCAUCUCAGAGGUUUGGUAAUAAGCCUUACCAAUAGACAUGCCAUCCUAGCUGAACGUCAGUCCUUUCCCAAUAGGUCAGUGGAUAUAUGUUUUCCCCUUACACUUGACAUGGAUGAGAAUGCAGUGUUUGUAGCAGAAAGAGACUGAUUUCCAGUAUAAAUGUCAAAUCAGUUCACUGGCGAAGGAACUAAUGCUUUGUUAGAAUAAUGCGAUUCUUUGGUCCUUUGUUCUUAUGGAAGGCAUAUUUUUAUUCACUAAAAAUUGAAAUCCCGUCUGUGAGUAAGCAAGCUAGUGAAUGACUUUCAGUGUAGUAUUUAAAGUAGCAGUAAAGAGAUUUAAUAUGGCUUAAAACAUAUGGUUAAUUGGGCAGACACAGAUAACACAUCUAGGAUACCGAGUACCCAAAUGUACUAUAAGAUUGUCUAUAAGUCUCUUAUGUAAACUUCUUUAGUGUCUCCUAAAGAGCGCUGGCUUUAGCCAGAUUUGACUUUUAUAGACCCAGCCACACAAAGCCUGAGAUAAACUACUGUGGUUGGGAGCACAAAUGCACAGUUUAUAUAUAACAAAGCCCAUGCUGACAAGUCUACCUAUGUUGUUCAGAAGAAACAACCCGUAUUACCCUUUUCACAGGAAAAACUUAAGGCCCUGUACUCUGAUUUGCUAACUUUCUUACAGCAAUUAUUUGGGGAAGUCCUUAGCACUACGUAAGCAAUUUAUGUAGCUUUAAAGAUUUCUUGUACCUAAUGGUAAGGCUUAUUCACAAAUGCAAUAAAAUUACAUUUGAAAACUGUAAAGGCUGGCAAAAUAAUAAAAAAAACCCAAAACAAACCAAAACAAACCCCAACCAAAAUUGUCUGUUUAUCCCUACCAUUGAAAGAGCAUUUUAUUCUAAUGAAAAACUAUUGGCACAAAACCAUUAUAUUAGAGAUUAAAAGAACAGUUAAUAGUAGUGAAAAAGAUUGCCUAAAACGCAUACCCUAACCUACCACAGAAAUAUAAAAGUUUAUAUUCUGAAAAUAUAUACUGUAUUAAAGUUUGUAAGCUUAUUCAUUUAAACAGAAAUGUACUGAAAGAGUAAACUAAGCAACACUUAUCUACAGCAAAAAUAUACAUGCAGGACAACACAAAAUAAAUUGCUUACCUUUAAUAUCUACAAAUGCAAAACUGUAGGUUUUUAAAGAUUGUACAAAACAAUUUACACAAGAAUAAAAUAACAUACUUAACAACAAAUUGCAUUUAUAAUCUUAAAUACUGUGAAUAUUAGUAAAGGUACCCAGACUAAUAUGUACAGUACAUCUAGAUAUCUGAAUACCUAGUAAGGACAGAAACACAAGAGAAAAUUGAUUUCUGAUCUUUAAAUACUGGAAAAGAAGAUUUUGAUAUUGUUAUUACUCUUUUUGGAAGGGAAAAUAGAGUCCAUGAAAACUAGAUUAUAACUGUAUAGAUAUGAAUAAUUAAAAAUGUUAACUAUGGUUAGCGCUUGCUUUAAUGGAAAAAUAAUUAUAGAAAAAUGUAUUUCAACCAUUCCUUUGUCAUAAAAAAUGCUAAGAUACAGAUAUCUGAAAAUUCAGAUGAAAUGAUGCAGUUUAAAGGUCUUAAUUUGUGAUUCUUCUCUGAAAAUCUCAUCUGGAAAGCAUACCUUCACAUUGC